rnacentral:rRNA from 1 species
UUGAACGCUGGCGGCAGGCCUAACCCAUGCAAGUCGAGCGGAUGAAGGGAGCUUGCUCCUGGAUUCAGCGGCGGACGGGUGAGUAAUGCCUAGGAAUCUGCCUGGUAGUGGGGGAUAACGUCCGGAAACGGGCGCUAAUACCGCAUACGUCCUGAGGGAGAAAGUGGGGGAUCUUCGGACCUCACGCUAUCAGAUGAGCCUAGGUCGGAUUAGCUAGUUGGUGGGGUAAAGGCCUACCAAGGCGACGAUCCGUAACUGGUCUGAGAGGAUGAUCAGUCACACUGGAACUGAGACACGGUCCAGACUCCUACGGGAGGCAGCAGUGGGGAAUAUUGGACAAUGGGCGAAAGCCUGAUCCAGCCAUGCCGCGUGUGUGAAGAAGGUCUUCGGAUUGUAAGGCACUUUAAGUUGGGAGGAAGGGCAGUAAGUUAAUACCUUGCUGUUUUGACGUUACCAACAGAAUAAGCACCGGCUAACUUCGUG